AUUGAACGCUGGCGGCAUGCCUUACACAUGCAAGUCGAACGGUAACGGGCCUUCGGGUGCCGACGAGUGGCGAACGGGUGAGUAAUACAUCGGAACGUGCCCGAUCGUGGGGGAUAACGAGGCGAAAGCUUUGCUAAUACCGCAUACGAUCUACGGAUGAAAGCAGGGGACCGCAAGGCCUUGCGCGGACGGAGCGGCCGAUGGCAGAUUAGGUAGUUGGUGGGAUAAAAGCUUACCAAGCCGACGAUCUGCAGCUGGUCUGAGAGGAUGAUCAGCCACACUGGGACUGAGACACGGCCCAGACUCCUACGGGAGGCAGCAGUGGGGAAUUUUGGACAAUGGGCGCAAGCCUGAUCCAGCCAUGCCGCGUGCAGGAUGAAGGCCUUCGGGUUGUAAACUGCUUUUGUACGGAACGAAAAGCCUUCUUUUAAUACAGGAGGGUCAUGACGGUACCGGAAGAAUAAGCACCGGCUAACUACGUG
rnacentral:rRNA from 1 species